rnacentral:rRNA from 1 species
UACGUAGGGGGCGAGCGUUGCUCGGAAUGACUGGGCGUAAAGGGCGCGUAGGCGGAUGGCACAGUCAGAUGUGAAAUUCCCGGGCUUAACCUGGGGGCUGCAUUUGAUACGUGUUGUCUUGAGUUCGGAAGAGGGUCGUGGAAUUCCCAGUGUAGAGGUGAAAUUCGUAGAUAUUGGGAAGAACACCGGUGGCGAAGGCGGCGACCUGGUCCGACACUGACGCUGAGGCGCGAAAGCGUGGGGAGCAAACAGG